GGUUUUAAUUUUUACUUGUUAUUUAAAGGGAGUCUGAGCAUCUUUUCACGUUUCAGAAACAAUGUUUCCUAUUUUGUUAGACACGUAAGUUUUGCACACCCAGUAAAUGUCUAUAGAGAGACGAUCCUCCUGGCGUGGGCAGGCGGGGGAGGCCCGGGGAGCACUGCAGUCGCCUGCCUGCUCAUGUUCUGGGCCCCAGGCCUCUCUGAUGUCCCAGCUCCGGGCCGCCCCCUGCUGCGCCCCCAAGGCCUGUGAAGCUCCUGCUCAGCUGCUUACUGCCCCCCGGACCCCGCCGUGACCGCCGGCCCAGAGCCAGGCCCAGCAGAGGGGGCUGUGCUGGCACCGUCAAGACCUGGUAGCAGACCCACAGAGGCCCCGACGUAAACCCAGACCCAAAUGUAAACCCGGGCCUCAGACGUCAACCUCGGCCCUGAGGUGGGCGGAGCUCCGGCCUGGAGAGGCGAUCCCGGUCUGCGGAGGGCGCGCAGAGCGAGGAUGGCGCCGUGGUCUCCAGAAGCGCCUGGCGGCCCCGUGCGUCCGGGGUCCGCCCCUCAACGGCGCCACGACCAGCACCCGGCACUCGCACCGAGACCCUCACGCCGAGACCCGUCUAUGUCCAGGAGGAAGAGGGAGCACCAGGAUGUGGAGUCAUUUGCUGACUUCACAAGGCUGGAGGGGCCUGGACCAGAGUAUGAACACAGAUGGUUCAAGUCCAAGGCCGGGGCUCACACCACUGCAAAUGCUGUCUCUCACCACAUCGCUACCUGUGCCCAAAAAUAUAGAACAACUCGCCCAACGUCAAACUGCUUUUCUAAAGCCAAGCAAAGAUUCCAAAGUUACUCUGUCUCCCUCCAACCUGUCUCUAUUGUAUCUAAGCUCAGAUAAUUUAAGCUCCCAUCCCAAAUUCCGAAAACCCACUUACUAAUAAAUAGUUCAACAUUUUUCAACCCAACUUCCAGUGUUUAUUUGCACACUUCUUCAACUUGGUGUCCAUAAUUUUCCUGCUUGUCUUAUUUCUUAGGGCCGUUCUGUUUCUUCACCUCACACUGGCUUAUCCCCGAGGAUACUGGCACCAUAGACAAAGGAAUUCUGUCUCAACUUCUCAGCUCCUGGCCUCUUCUGGUGAAGAAAUAUCCACAUGUCAGCUGGGAUUGCUGCAUCAUCAGAGAUCCUUCUAGAAGCUGCCGAGGAGCUUGGGGAAGUUGUUGGUGUUGUCAGCAAAGAGCUUCCACAUGAACAGGGAAGGUCAUAGCGCAACCUUCAAACAGAUGAGUUAAUUUAAGAAAUCUUCAGUGAGAUGAGAACGAUAAGGUAAUCCGUGAGUUCCAGGUCUCUUGUGUUGAAGGUCGUCCAUGGUCCACAUCGUUGCUCUCUAGUCCUGCUGCAUAGAACGUCCCUUCACCCUCAUCCUGGGAGCUCUUCAUCCUCUCUUGCGUAGGAUUCAACAGUGGCAGGAUCUGAAGUCCUACUCCUUAGUGAUUUACCCGUCCAUUUGGUGAUCCACAUUUACUUCUUGAGAAAAAAUAAAUGGGACAUAAUUAUACCCUCAUGUGUAUAAAAAACGUUCUUCUUCUACAGGAUAACAUUUACUUAUUUAUGAAAGGCUGAUGGAACACUUGUUUUAUGCCAGGCCCUGAUAUAAUUACAAAUAUUAGCUUCAUAGUUUGUUCCUAGUGUGCUGGGUGUAAAAGUGAAGCUUGAGAAUGACUUGCCCUCCAAAUUUUGAAAAACAUUUCUGCAUUGUCCUUCUAGACGGCAGUAUUGGUAAGAAGGUAGAUGUCAUUCUUAUUCUGAUUUUUUUGUAUGUGACCUUUGGUUUUUUUCUUUCUCUACCUUCAUUCCUGGUGUUUGGCUUUAAUGAUAAUGUCCUCAAGGUAAAUAGUUUUAAAUGCAUUUGUCUCAAUAAAUUUUGUUGUCUUUUAAGGACAA
rnacentral:lncRNA from 1 species